rnacentral:rRNA from 1 species
GUUGUCCGGAUUAUUGGGCGUAAAGAGCUUGUAGGCGGUUUGUCGCGUCUGCUGUGAAAGGCCGGGGCUUAACUCCGUGUAUUGCAGUGGGUACGGGCAGACUAGAGUGCAGUAGGGGAGACUGGAAUUCCUGGUGUAGCGGUGGAAUGCGCAGAUAUCAGGAGGAACACCGAUGGCGAAGGCAGGUCUCUGGGCUGUAACUGACGCUGAGAAGCGAAAGCAUGGGGAGCGAACAGGAUUAGAUACCCUGGUAGUCCAUGCCGUAAACGUUGGGCACUAGGUGUGGGGAACAUUCCACGUUUUCCGCGCCGUAGCUAACGCAUUAAGUGCCCCGCCUGGGGAGUACGGCCGCAAGGCUAAAACUCAAAGAAAUUGACGGGGGCCCGCACAGGCGGCGGAGCAUGCGGAUUAAUUCGAUGCAACGCGAAGAACCUUACCAAGGCUUGACAUAUACUGGACCGCAUCAGAGAUGGUGUUUCCCUUCGGGGCUGGUAUACAGGUGGUGCAUGGUUGUCGUCAGCUCGUGUCGUGA